CUGUCAUCGUAGCCAUUAAAAAGUGAGAAAUGUUUUGUUGGAUUUCGAGUUCUUCGAUUAAUUAUUUAUUUAAUUGCAAAGAUUGUGAAUAUGACCGUAGCAUCAAAAGAAAAUGAUAAAAAUAUAAAAAUUCAUAAGCGUACAUACUUGCAGAAGAAGUAGAUGACAUGAUGCUGAUAACAAAUAAUAGUCAAUGGCUUCGCUUCAUUGAAACUAGUUCUUGUUCGAUCACUAAAGUUAAGCAACGAUGAACAUGAGAAGACAUCUAAAUAAAUGAAGGUAAAUCCAUCUAUAAAGUUAUGAAGUUAUGAAGUAUGCAGUAUGAAGUGGAACAAGGCUGAAAUUUCCAUCGAAUGAAAGUUCUUGUAAAUGAAGGAAAAGCGGAAGAAGAAAAAAAAUUGGAAGGAGAAUUAAUGACUCAAAAUAGAAGAAAAGGUAUUACAAAAUAAGGUACAAAAUUUUAAAUAUAAUUGGUUAAAAACAAAAAAAUUGUGUUUUAUACAAAUGUAUGCACAACAGAGUUGAUCGAAUUUUAUUUAAAAUAUCAUAUAAGGUAACGAAAUUAUUUAUAGUCAUCAUAGAGAUGCGUUAAAAUGCAUAUCUAUAGUAUGCUAUCUUUUUUUGUUUUUUUUUCUUACUUUCUGUGUAAUAUUUUCUAUUUUCCUUGUAAAAAAAGUAAUGCGUCUGUAUCAUGAUAAAUACGAGGAUUAUCUUCAUCUAUUAAAGUUUUUCUAUGUAAGACAAGUACUAAUAUCAGUGUGCACCAUCGUUAGCACCGUUGUAACUCAUAAAUCACCUGACAUCCGACAUGAAAUACAGAGUACUUCCAAUUCU